rnacentral:rRNA from 1 species
UUCGACUGUGCGCUUCACGCAGCACGUCGGAAUCGAACUCACACCUGUGCACCAUUUCGGUUGCGGCUUCACGGCCGCCGCCGCUUUACAUGCAACAACGUCAGUCUCGAAUGUCGAAAACUAUAUAAAGUAACAACUUUCAACAACGGAUCUCUUGGCUCUCGCAUCGAUGAAGAACGCAGCGAAAUGCGAUAAGUAAUGUGAAUUGCAGAAUUCAGUGAAUCAUCGAAUCUUUGAACGCAUCUUGCGCUCCUUGGUAUUCCAUGGAGCAUGCCUGUUUGAGUGUCACGUAAACCUUCACCCUUGCGAUGUAACAGUCGCCUGCGGUGGUGUUGGACUGUGCCGGUAAUCGGCUCGUCUUGAAAUGCAUUAGCUGGUGCUUUUAGAGCGCUAGGCGACGGUGUGAUAAUUAUCUGCGCCACUGCCUUAGGCCUCUUCAGCGGCGCUGCUUAUAGCCCGUCCCUCUGUGGACAACUACAUUUAAAGCUUUGGCCUCAAAUCAGGUAGGACUACCCGCUGAACUUAAGCAUAUCAA